rnacentral:rRNA from 1 species
CUCCUACGGGAGCACAGUGUGGGAUAUUGCACAAUAGGUGGAAACCCUGAUGCAGCGACGCCGCGAAUAGGAAGAAGGUCUUCGGAUUGUAAACUCCUGUUGUUGAGGAAGAUAAUGACGGUACUCGACAAGGCAAGUAACGGGCUAACUACAAACCAGCAGCCGCGGUAAAACGUAGGUCACAAGCGUUGUCCGGAAUUACUGGGUGUAAAGGGAGCGCAGGCGGAGAGAACAAGUUGGAAGUGAAAUCCAUGGGCUCAACCCAUGAACUGCUUUCAAAACUUUUUUUCUU